rnacentral:rRNA from 1 species
GUAGGUGGCAAGCGUUGUCCGGAAUUAUUGGGCGUAAAGCGCGCGCAGGCGGUUCUUUAAGUCUGAUGUGAAAACCCACGGGCUCAACCGUGGAGGGUCAUUGGAAACUGGAGAACUUGAGUACAGAAGAGGAAAGCGGAAUUCCACGUGUAGCGGUGAAAUGCGUAGAGAUGUGGAGGAACACCAGUGGCGAAGGCGGCUUUCUGGUCUGUAACUGACGCUGAGGCGCGAAAGCGUGGGGAGCAAACAGGAUUAGAUACCCUGGUAGUCCACGCCGUAAACGAUGAGUGCUAAGUGUUAGGGGGUUUCCGCCCCUUAGUGCUGCAGCUAACGCAUUAAGCACUCCGCCUGGGGAGUACGGCCGCAAAGGCUG